rnacentral:rRNA from 1 species
GACGAACGCUGGCGGCGUGCUUAACACAUGCAAGUCGAACGGAAAGGCCCUGCUUUUGUGGGGUGCUCGAGUGGCGAACGGGUGAGUAACACGCGAGUAACCUGCCCUUGACUUUGGGAUAACUUCAGGAAACUGGGGCUAAUACCGGAUAGGAGCUCCUGCUGCAUGGUGGGGGUUGGAAAGUUUCGGCGGUUGGGGAUGGACUCGCGGCUUAUCAGCUUGUUGGUGGGGUAGUGGCUUACCAAGGGUUUGACGGGUAGCCGGCCUGGGAGGGUGACCGGCCACAUUGGGACUGCGAUACGGCCCAGACUCCUACGGGAGGCAGCAGUGGGGAGUCUUGCACAAUGGGCGGAAGCCUGAUGCAGCAGCGCCGCGUGCGGGAUGACGGCCUUCGGGUUGUAAACCGCUUUCGCCUGUGACGAAGCGUGAGUGACGGUAAUGGGUAAAGAAGCACCGGCUAACUACGUG